GAUGCUCAAAAUGGUCGGAUAUGCUGUGUGAAAGACGAGCCAGUAAUUAACUGCGAAGCAGACUGUGGUGGUACAUGUCGUAAACAUUGCAAACGUGGUGAACAAGAUGCGGAACCCGUAGAUGAGUGUGUUGAAAGUUGUCCAACGGAUUAUAGGUGUUGUGUGCCAGAUGAGGAAGCGUGUAAAAAUGAUUGUAAUGGCCAGUGCCGUAAAAAACAUUGCAACACAGAUGAAUAUGAGUCAUAUGAACCAAGUUGUGUAAAAGAUUGUGAUGAU